AUGUUGGCCGGGCGACGGUUGUCCCGGUUUAAGCGUGUAGGCUGGUUUUCCAGGCAAAUCCGGAAAAUCAAGGCUGAGGCGUGAUGACGAGGUACUACGGUGCUGAAGCAACAAAUGCCCUGCUUCCAGGAAAAGCCUCUAAGCAUCAGGUAACAUCAAAUCGUACCCCAAACCGACACAGGUGGUCAGGUAGAGAAUACCAAGGCGCUUGAGAGAACUCGGGUGAAGGAACUAGGCAAAAUGGUGCCGUAACUUCGGGAGAAGGCACGCUGAUAUGUAGGUGAAGUCCCUCGCGGAUGGAGCUGAAAUCAGUCGAAGAUACCAGCUGGCUGCAACUGUUUAUUAAAAACACAGCACUGUGCAAACACGAAAGUGGACGUAUACGGUGUGACGCCUGCCCGGUGCCGGAAGGUUAAUUGAUGGGGUCAGCGCAAGCGAAGCUCUUGAUCGAAGCCCCGGUAAACGGCGGCCGUAACUAUAACGGUCCUAAGGUAGCGAAAUUCCUUGUCGGGUAAGUUCCGACCUGCACGAAUGGCGUAAUGAUGGCCAGGCUGUCUCCACCCGAGACUCAGUGAAAUUGAACUCGCUGUGAAGAUGCAGUGUACCCGCGGCAAGACGGAAAGACCCCGUGAACCUUUACUAUAGCUUGACACUGAACAUUGAGCCUUGAUGUGUAGGAUAGGUGGGAGGCUUUGAAGUGUGGACGCCAGUCUGCAUGGAGCCGACCUUGAAAUACCACCCUUUAAUGUUUGAUGUUCUAACGUUGACCCGUAAUCCGGGUUGCGGACAGUGUCUGGUGGGUAGUUUGACUGGGGCGGUCUCCUCCUAAAGAGUAACGGAGGAGCACGAAGGUUGGCUAAUCCUGGUCGGACAUCAGGAGGUUAGUGCAAUGGCAUAAGCCAGCUUGACUGCGAGCGUGACGGCGCGAGCAGGUGCGAAAGCAGGUCAUAGUGAUCCGGUGGUUCUGAAUGGAAGGGCCAUCGCUCAACGGAUAAAAGGUACUCCGGGGAUAACAGGCUGAUACCGCCCAAGAGUUCAUAUCGACGGCGGUGUUUGGCACCUCGAUGUCGGCUCAUCACAUCCUGGGGCUGAAGUAGGUCCCAAGGGUAUGGCUGUUCGCCAUUUAAAGUGGUACGCGAGCUGGGUUUAGAACGUCGUGAGACAGUUCGGUCCCUAUCUGCCGUGGGCGCUGGAGAACUGAGGGGGGCUGCUCCUAGUACGAGAGGACCGGAGUGGACGCAUCACUGGUGUUCGGGUUGUCAUGCCAAUGGCACUGCCCGGUAGCUAAAUGCGGAAGAGAUAAGUGCUGAAAGCAUCUAAGCACGAAACUUGCCCCGAGAUGAGUUCUCCCUGACUCCUUGAGAGUCCUGAAGGAACGUUGAAGACGACGACGUUGAUAGGCCGGGUGUGUAAGCGCAGCGAUGCGUUGAGCUAACCGGUACUAAUGAACCGUGAGGCUUAACCUU
rnacentral:rRNA from 1 species